AUCUGUUCUUAUCAGUUUAAUAUCUGAUAUGUCCUUUAUUUGAGGACUGUAUAUUAAAUAGAUUUUUGAAACAGGAGGCUGGAAUAGGAGCUUGCUUUAUCCACCCCAUGCAUUGACCUGGUAUUGCAGUGCCUCCAGGACCAGUGC
rnacentral:snRNA from 1 species